GUUUGAGUGCUUGUCUGAAUGUUUUCACAUCAGUAAGACUCCUUCGAUCCUUAGAGUGAGCAAAAAUGACACCCUGGAUAAACCUCAUACUGUUAGCAGCAGUCCUCAGAGGUGUCCAGUCAGAGGUCCAGCUGGUGGAGUCUGGAGGGGAUGUGAGAAGACCUGGAGGCUCCCUCCGCCUCUCCUGCCAAGGGUCCGGAUUCACCUUCAGCAGCUAUAGCAUGAACUGGGUGAGACAAUAUCCAGAGAAAGGACUGGAAUGGGUGGCAUUCAUCAACCCCAGUUCCAGCACUAUUUACUACUCAGACAAAGUCAAGGGGCGCUUCACCAUCUCCAGGGACAAUGCCAAAAGCCAGCUGUAUCUGCAAAUGAACAACCUCAAGCUGGAGGACACGGGACGCUAUUACUGUGCGAGAGACACG